UUGUGAGUAUUUAUAGCGCUGCAGGCGUUGAUCGUUGCUUGUCAUCACACAAUUUUGUAAGGUGUCAGUAUACUGAUGCAUCCUAACAGUGUUUCACAGGUGUCCUGCCGUUCGAUUCUUAAUUACGUUAUGUUUUGCAUUCCGAAACUAGACCGUCACAGCAGUGCAGCGCUGGGGAUUGUACUACAGUACGUUUCCCAGCCAAUAUUUCAACAAGAAACGAUGUGAGGUUAACAACCACCAUGCGCGGUUGUGCCAAACUGAAUGUCCUUCUGGAGUACUCACAUGCUUUUGCUGAAUACAACUGCAGCGUGAGCAAAGCUGCUUAGGAACGGGGGCCUGCUAUCCAGUGCUGACUUUGUCAUGCUUGUUAUGUGGAGCACAUUCGAAAAAAUGCAGCUGCACAUCUGAAACUCCAAUGAGUAUCAUCGUCAUCUAAAAGAGAGCGUCGUAGCACCGUUGUGAGACCAGACACGCUUUCUGAAUAUCUUCUAUGGCACCUUCCGCAGUUUGCACAAUUUUGUUCAGCAUCGAAGUCUCUCAUAGGAACCACUUUGCAUUAACUGUGACUCCCAUCUUACAUUUUGAUGUGCAAGGGCCUUCUUGCACUACACACGUAUGGUCUGCAACAGGAUAAUUGCAGCAGGACGAUUUGGAGCUUGAAACAGUUGUGAUUUUGUCAUUUUGGCCCUCGUGUACCCCGUCUGUGAAACGUAAACAAAAAAAAUCUAACACGAUAUGCUUUUGUAAAGAAGGUCACUGAUGAUGAGUAAAGAGAAUAUACGAGUUCAAGUUUAUUCAAUAUUUUAUAUCAUUCAUUAUACUAUUCAACAUUUUAUGUCAAGUUCAUACAACAUCAAGUUUAUUCAAGUUCAAGAUUUAUUUCUUGCACUUAUGCGUUUCAGGAUACAAUGAACGUGCAGGGAGGUCACAAAAGACUACAUUUAUUGUUUUAUGACCUUGCUACAAUGACAAUAUAUAUUUUAGGAAUGACAAUGGACAGGUACUCUCUCUAAAUUUGUAGCACUCAAUUUUAGGUUAGAAUGAGCAAUGAAUCGCAACUUCCCUCCUGGUAUUUUCUUAUAUAUGAUGAAUUUUGAAUUUAAUGUGAUCAAAUAUGUGUUAAUAUAAUAGUAUAUAUAAGAAUAUAAUACGUGAUAAAUGAAUGUGAUCAACAGUAGAUGUAAACAACACCAGUAGCCAGAGAAGUGCAUUCUCAAGAAAUAAUUUUCUUCUUAUAGCAUAUAUGUGCAUGCCCUAUUAACUGAAACAAUUAUCACGGUUCUCACGGUUUUAAUUUCUGAGAGUGUACUGUAGAGACGGCUUAGAUCUACAACAGUUAAUACAAGGUAUUAUAUACUGUGAAUACGUUUAAAAAUCCCAUGUGACACAUACUUUUGGAGGUGCUGUGGUAAUCAAAGUUUGUGGGCAUUACGCAGGUUCUGCACCCAUUUCUUGAGUAUGUCGAGGCAGCUGUGAAGUAACCUGCAUUGAUGAUGAUUAUUCCAAUUUUUAUGGUGCAUCGACAACAAAGGAAAUAAUACAUCAGAACAUUGGUUUGGGUGCAACCAGUUAAAAAUGAAUAUGUUGUUUAAUAAAUGCAUUGGACAAAUGUUAAAACAGCAGUUUAAAACAUGGUUUACAAUCCCUGUAUCUUCUAAAAAUUAAAAAGAUGAAAAACUA